UUGGAGGGCAAGUCUGGUGCCAGCAGCCGCGGUAAUUCCAGCUCCAAUAGCGUAUGUUAAAGUUGUUGCAGUUAAAAAGCUCGUAGUUGAAUUUCGGGGUUAGUAGGUUGGUCAUGCCUCUGGUAUGUACUGGUCUCACUGAUUCCUCCUUCCUUAUGAACCGUAAUGCCAUUAAUUUGGUGUUGCGGGGAAUUUGGACUGUUACUUUGAAAAAAUUAGAGUGUUUAAAGCAAGCUAACGCUUGAAUACAUUAGCAUGGAAUAAUGAAAUAGGACGUUCGAUCUUAUUUUGUUGGUUUCUAGGAUUGACGUAAUGAUUAAUAGGGAUAGUUGGGGGCAUUAGUAUUCAAUUGUCAGAGGUGAAAUUCUUGGAUUUAUUGAAGACUAACUACUGCGAAAGCAUUCGCCAAGGAUGUUUUCAUUAAUCAAGAACGAAAGUUGGGGGAUCGAAGACGAUCAGAUACCGUCGUAGUCUUAACCAUAAACUAUGCCGACUAGGGAUCGGAUGAUGUUAAUUUUUUAAUGACUCAUUCGGCGCCUUACGGGAAAC
rnacentral:rRNA from 1 species